rnacentral:lncRNA from 1 species
GUACAGUGAUAGUGACCGAUGAAAGUAGAUUUAGCGUAAAAAAGGGUGAGGGAAGCCACUGUACCCUGGUGCUCAAUAACCAAACAUGUGCCCUGAAUGUGAAAACCCCAAAAUAAAACCAACUUAACAGUGAACACUCGCCAGCCUAAGUAAACAAACAAACAAACAUUGGUUUAAAACAACAGACUGAACAGUCAGAACAGUUUCCUAUAUGCAUACAGUGCAUCACCAACAGUGAGUCAAACUUUAAAAUAAGCAAACGUAAAAUAUAAAUAUGUAUUUGUGAGCUUAAAAGUGUCUUUAAAUGUUAGUUGGCCAUGACAAAGAAAGAAAAACACAGACAAUACAAAAAAAAGGGGUGGAAUAACCCAAAGCGAUCAAAGCUUGUCAAAUGUUUCAGUGUGUGGAUGUGCGAGGAAUUAGGUUACAGUAUGAUCACAAAUGUCUUUCCCUCAAUAUACAGCGUCACAUCACACCCAGGCUGACCCUAUCUGCAAAGGUGUUUGAAAGCACAAUGAAGUUCAUUGCUUGAUCUCCAUCAAGUUGUUCUCCUCUGCUUCUAUAGGAUUCUACCCUAAGACAAAGGAACAAAGGGAGACUGUGAAAGUGACUCUUGAGACUUAAGACUGUAUCUUCAUUUUAGGUGCACAUAAACUUACCAAGAAAAGGAGUCUGUGCUAGUGCUGAAGGCUACAGAAGGGUUAGCAAAGUCUGGACUCCACAAUCCACAUAGUUCUGAAAGAGAAUCACACAUACACUCGUCUUAUAUUGAUGAGCCUUUCAAUUUUAGCAUACUUUUUCUCUUCAGUCUGCAAUUUUCAUAUUAAGCCAGCGCUGCCAUCUAAAGGCUAACCACAGCACAACAAUCCAAUGUAAUAUGGGUCUUGUGGCACAUUGUGAUGGACAUGUAUCAUGACACAGAUCAUGUUCAGAGCUACCCUGCAAACUUGUGGAAGUCAUGAAAACAAACUACGAUAGUGGAUCUGGUUCAGUACCUAGAGCCCUGAGAGUUCACAUCACUGAUAUCUCACAGUUUAAUCUGGAAACAAGUUAGUCAUAUUACUCAAAGAAACUCAAAAGGCUUUCACUUCAACUUGCUAAAAUACAUUUGUUUUAACUUGAAAUUGAUAGAAAUAUUGUUUUUGUAUAUUAAAAUGUGCUCAGAGUAAUAAUAAAUAUUAAUAAUAACAAUUAAAACAUUUAAGAAAAAACAAAUGAACUUUUCUGCCACAAGUCAUAAACAUCAAAAUCACGCAGAAAACACAUAAUUGGAAAAAAAAAAAAAAAAAAAUUUCAUAGGGCCCUGAUUGCAGAGCAUUUUAACAAAUCUCUGACCUUAGGAAUUUUAGCGCAGACUAAAAUAAAGCCUGUGCUUAUUGCUACACUGCACUGACAUUAAAAUGCUGGAGGCAGCUGUCUUGGACUAGCUUACACACUUCUCAAUUUCAUUUAAUGGGUAGGGCAAGAACACUGGGCUAACUAAAGUGGUUAACAUCUUUGUUCAAAUUAUACUGUAAGCAAUUACAAUAUAUUGGUGCAUCUCCAAGGAUAAAAGGACAGUUAAGAUUACUCCGUGUUUUAAAAGAAAUUUUAACAAGGCAGCAUUUUUUUGUUAAUAAAUACAUUUAAAACAGUUCUACUGUGC